rnacentral:rRNA from 1 species
GAUGAACGCUGGCGGCGUGCUUAACACAUGCAAGUCGAACGGAAAGGCUCCUGCUUGCAGGGGUACUCGAGUGGCGAACGGGUGAGUAACACGUGGGUGAUCUGCCCUGCACUUCGGGAUAAGCCUGGGAAACUGGGUCUAAUACCGGAUAGGACCACAUUUUGGAUGGUGUGGUGGAAAGUUUUUCGGUGUGGGAUGAGCUCGCGGCCUAUCAGCUUGUUGGUGGGGUAAUGGCCUACCAAGGCGUCGACGGGUAGCCGGCCUGAGAGGGUGUACGGCCACAUUGGGACUGAGAUACGGCCCAGACUCCUACGGGAGGCAGUAGUGGGGAAUAUUGCACAAUGGGCGCAAGCCUGAUGCAGCGACGCCGCGUGGGGGAUGACGGCCUUCGGGUUGUAAACUCCUUUCGCUAGGGACGAAGCGCAAGUGACGGUACCUGGAGAAGAAGCACCGGCUAACUACGUG